rnacentral:RNase_P_RNA from 1 species
CGACCUCGGUAACUGCUAAUUUAGUUUAGAGGAAAGUCCAUGCUCGCACGAGCUGAGAUGCUCGUAGUGAUUGUGCUAGUGGAAAAAAUAACACUAGGUAUGCGGGAGCGCAUAACGGCGAGUCAAAACCUAAGGCUUAGGCUAUGGUUAAGACUCUGAAAGUGCCACAGUGACGUAGUUUAGUGGAAACAUUAAAGUGGAACGUUGGUAAACCCCACAAGCGAGAAACCCAAAUUCGGUAGGGGAAGUGUGCUAAAAGAAAUGAAUGGCGGCACGCAUGCACUUACGUGCAUAGAUAAAUAGUUACCCUUUGACAGAACAUGGCUUAUAGGG